UACGUAGGCAGCGAGCGUUGUUCGGAGUUACUGGGCGUAAAGGGUGUGUAGGCGGUUUUCUAAGUUUGGUGUGAAAUUUCCCGGCUCAACCGGGAGGGUGCGCCGAAAACUGGGAGACUAGAGUGCGGGAUGGGAGAGUAGAAUUCCUGGUGUAGCGGUGAAAUGCGUAGAUAUCAGGAGGAAUACCGGUGGUGGAGACGGCUCUCUGGACCGCCACUGACGCUGAGACACGAAAGCGUGGGUAGCAAACAGG
rnacentral:rRNA from 1 species